rnacentral:rRNA from 1 species
UGCAGUCGAGCGGUAGCACAGAGAGCUUGCUCUCGGGUGACGAGCGGCGGACGGGUGAGUAAUGUCUGGGAAACUGCCUGAUGGAGGGGGAUAACUACUGGAAACGGUAGCUAAUACCGCAUAACGUCGCAAGACCAAAGUGGGGGACCUUCGGGCCUCAUGCCAUCAGAUGUGCCCAGAUGGGAUUAGCUAGUAGGUGGGGUAACGGCUCACCUAGGCGACGAUCCCUAGCUGGUCUGAGAGGAUGACCAGCCACACUGGAACUGAGACACGGUCCAGACUCCUACGGGAGGCAGCAGUGGGGAAUAUUGCACAAUGGGCGCAAGCCUGAUGCAGCCAUGCCGCGUGUGUGAAGAAGGCCUUCGGGUUGUAAAGCACUUUCAGCGGGGAGGAAGGCGGUGAGGUUAAUAACCUUGUCGAUUGACGUUACCCGCAGAAGAAGCACCGGCUAACUCCGUGCCAGCAGCCGCGGUAAUACGGAGGGUGCAAGCGUUAAUCGGAAUUACUGGGCGUAAAGCGCACGCAGGCGGUCUGUCAAGUCGGAUGUGAAAUCCCCGGGCUCAACCUGGGAACUGCAUUCGAAACUGGCAGGCUAGAGUCUUGUAGAGGGGGGUAGAAUUCCAGGUGUAGCGGUGAAAUGCGUAGAGAUCUGGAGGAAUACCGGUGGCGAAGGCGGCCCCCUGGACAAAGACUGACGCUCAGGUGCGAAAGCGUGGGGAGCAAACAGGAUUAGAUACCCUGGUAGUCCACGCCGUAAACGAUGUCGAUUUGGAGGUUGUGCCCUUGAGGCGUGGCUUCCGGAGCUAACGCGUUAAAUCGACCGCCUGGGGAGUACGGCCGCAAGGUUAAAACUCAAAUGAAUUGACGGGGGCCCGCACAAGCGGUGGAGCAUGUGGUUUAAUUCGAUGCAACGCGAAGAACCUUACCUGGUCUUGACAUCCACAGAACUUUCCAGAGAUGGAUUGGUGCCUUCGGGAACUGUGAGACAGGUGCUGCAUGGCUGUCGUCAGCUCGUGUUGUGAAAUGUUGGGUUAAGUCCCGCAACGAGCGCAACCCUUAUCCUUUGUUGCCAGCGGUUCGGCCGGGAACUCAAAGGAGACUGCCAGUGAUAAACUGGAGGAAGGUGGGGAUGACGUCAAGUCAUCAUGGCCCUUACGACCAGGGCUACACACGUGCUACAAUGGCAUAUACAAAGAGAAGCGACCUCGCGAGAGCAAGCGGACCUCAUAAAGUAUGUCGUAGUCCGGAUUGGAGUCUGCAACUCGACUCCAUGAAGUCGGAAUCGCUAGUAAUCGUAGAUCAGAAUGCUACGGUGAAUACGUUCCCGGGCCUUGUACACACCGCCCGUCACACCAUGGGAGUGGGUUGCAAAAGAAGUAGGUAGCUUAACCUUCGGGAGGGCGCUACCACUUUGA